UACGAAGGGUGCAAGCGUUACUCGGAAUUACUGGGCGUAAAGCGUGCGUAGGUGGUGAGUUAAGUCUGAUGUGAAAUCCCCGGGCUCAACCUGGGAAUGGCAUUGGAUACUGGCUCGCUCGAGUGCGGUAGAGGGUGGUGGAAUUCCCGGUGUAGCAGUGAAAUGCGUAGAGAUCGGGAGGAACAUCUGUGGCGAAGGCGGCCACCUGGACCAGCACUGACACUGAGGCACGAAAGCGUGGGGAGCAAACGGG
rnacentral:rRNA from 1 species